GCAAAGGAGGACUCUGUACCGGAGGCUUGGAUCAGCCGGGGAAUCAUUUUUUAAUUUGCGCACCCUUUUAAAUCUGGAUUCAGUGGAUAAAACAAAGGAAUUGAUGGACUACACAUUACAGUGUGCCUUGCUCUACACCACCGUCGGGGGCCGGAGGCGUCUGCGCGUCCACAACCUCAGUCUGAACUGCAACUCCCAGCUGAUGGAGCUGGUCAAGAGCUGUGAGACGGACUCGCUCAUCAACUUCUCCAAAACAGGCGGCUGAGUGCAGCAGGAAGCUCUUCAUCUUCCACGCCUCCAUCCCGACCGCUGAGGCUCCUGGGAAGUUGAAGAACCGAGACGAUAAGAAGCUGGUCAGCACGGACAAGGAGAAGGUGAGGCUCGGGGUCACUGCUUCUACUCUCAGUUCGGCUCAAGCUGGUCGAGGUUCUGCACUGAUUCAACAUAUCUGUUCUAUUUUAUAUUUGACUUAUGUGCUUAAUUACUUAUUAAGUUAUUUUUAAACAUGUUUACAUCUCAUCUUAUAAUUAUCCCAUUUCAUUUGUAUCUCUAUCAUUAUCAUUAUCCUCAAACGCUCCUUGCGUAUUCAUUUAGCCUAUCAAGGAAUGCUGCUCUUUCAGCUGUCCAAGGACUGUGUGGCUCAGGGCUGCAGCGUGGACCUCUUCCUGUUCCCCAGCCAGUACCUGGACAUCGCCACCAGGGGGAUGUGCCCGCGCACACCGGGGGCGCCGUCUACAAGUACAGCAACUUCCAGGUGUCUGUGUUUGUGUGUGUGGGGGUGUGAGUGUUAUAUUGCUUGUGUGUUUGUUGCUGUGUUGAUGGGUUGAGUGUGCGUGUGUGUGUGUGUCUGUGCGUGUGUGUGUGUGCGUUUAGAACACAUUACAAUCUAUUUAAACAUGGAUGUUUUUGUGGCCCGAAAUGGGAAAACAAUCUAUUAAUGAAACUGUGGAUACUUUCUAGUUAGGCUAUUGUCUCUGGCUACAGGCCAGGCAUGUGCACUUGAAGCAGACUUUAGAUCAGAUGUAAAAAAACAACGCUUAGCUUUGCUUUAUUAUUAUAUUUACUCAGUAGUUGGCCUCAAGUGAUAAAGAAAGAGUAGCAAUUAAUUAGGAUUCAAAAGACUGUUUGUCACACUUUUUUGUUCAAUUUACAAUUGAUUUGAAAAUAAAACCAACACACCCACAAACUCAAAAUAAAAAGUAUGAUAUCACGUUUGCUGUAUUGUCUCAGUAAUUUACACACAAUACAUGCAUACACACAAAUAUGCACACAGAGAAUCCCAAUGCAUUGCACACAAAGCCAAAUGAAAAUGUGUACCUUUUUCAAUAUUACCAAUGGGAACAACACUAUAAAUUAGCUUCUUUCAAUGUUAUGAAUUUUGAGAGGCAGACGAAUUGUUGUAUGUUUUUGUAAACGCAUCUGAAAGGCCUUUGCCCCCACACCUUUUGUGAUUUCUUUUUUUGUAUUGGAGGAAAAUAAACAAUGUUUCCUCGG